rfam:Cicer arietinum chromosome Ca5, whole genome shotgun sequence.
AAAAUGGGUCAGUUUGCUAAUUUUGGCACGCUCACUCUUUGUCGGUGAGUGCUGUAUGGCUAUCAAGACAUAUGAUUGACAUGAAUUUUAGGGAAUUAUAGGGUCAGCUUGUUAUGCCAGCCCUUUUU